GCACGAAGUUGGCCGGGGCUUCUUCUGCGGGUACCGUCAUUAUCUUCCCCGCCGAAAGAGCUUUACAACCCUAGGGCCUUCAUCACUCACGCGGCAUGGCUGGAUCAGGCUUGCGCCCAUUGUCCAAUAUUCCCCACUGCUGCCUCCCGUAGGAGUCUGGGCCGUGUCUCAGUCCCAGUGUGGCUGAUCAUCCUCUCAGACCAGCUACUGAUCGUAGCCUUGGUGAGCCGUUACCUCACCAACAAGCUAAUCAGACGCGGGCCGAUCCUUCAGCGAUAAAUCUUUCUCCUUACGGACGUAUCCGGUAUUAGCCCAAGUUUCCCUGGGUUGUUCCGAACUGAAGGGCACGUUCCCACGUGUUACUCACCCGUCUGCCGCUCCCCUUGCGGGGCGCUCGACUUGCAUGUGUUAGGCCUGCCGCCAGCGUUCGCU
rnacentral:rRNA from 1 species